AUAAAGAAAACAAAAGGGUAGGGUUGAAGCCUCAACCCAUUACUCCUCUUUCACUCGAAUCAGACGGAAAAGCCCUAGCCUAAUUUCUUGGCAAAUCCGACGUAAAAUUGUGAAGAUUUGUGGUCGAAGCUCUCAUCUUUUGGAUGUUUUCUUGUUGUUCUUCCUCUAGUUAGUCCAGCUUCAGUCAUAUAUGGGUCAUCUUAUAGCUAUUUUUCACCAUGGAGGUCGUUUUUAUAAAGGUGGAGUUGAACAACUUUCUGAGGAAGAAGAAAAUAGUGAUUCUAUUGACUUUGAACAGGAAGACUUAGAUGAUGUUCCGGAUAAAGAUGAUAGUGAACUUGAUGAAGAAUUGAGAGUUUUUAGAGAAAAACUUAGAGAAGAAAAAAGAAGUGAAGCUGGAAAGGGAAAAAAGAUAUCUAAAAGAACUUCCAAACAGCAAGAAGUCGAGCUUGGAGAAGUUGGUAUAGAUAAGGGAUUUGAGAAUAUUUUCAACAACAAGGCAGCAAAAUACAAUGGUAGAUUGGGAAGUGAUGAAGAUUUUAUUGAUUCAUCAGAUGAACUAAGUGAAGUAGUGGUGAAGAACUUGAUAUGUUAACACAACCAGGUGUGGAUUUACCUUCAAGAAGAAAAUGCAAUAAAUUGAGGGUCUUGAGUCAGCUGUUACUGACUUACUUACUAAUGCUGAAAGAAGAAUGUGUGCAAGACAUAUUUGGGCAAACUGGCAAAAGAAAUUAAGAGGUGAAGAAAGGAGAAAAGCAUUUUGGAGGUGUGCCAAAGCUAGUUUUGAGCCUGGAAGACCAAGUGAAAGAGUUAUCUCAAGUGGGUCUCAAGCAGCAUUAAAGGAUGCACCACAAACAAAUGUUGACCAUGGAUUCAAGCCAUCUGGUUUGAAAUGGAAAGAAAAAAAUGCUAUGACUGGAAACCACUUUCAACUAAUGUCACAGCGAAAUAAAUUGCAAAUCAAAUCCAAGCGGGUUCCUUAAGAGUUCAACAGUUAGUGAUGUGGCUUCAUGGUGAAAAACAAUGUUGAUCAUAUUUUUGCAUAUUUUGUAAAGUCAUACUUCAAUCACUGAUCAUUAUGAUGUAUUUUGGAUUAUUUUGAUGUAUGUUAGCCUUUAAACAAGUGUUUAGAUGUCAUUGUGGAAGCUAGUUUAUGUAUGUUAAGUUGACGCUUGCUAAAGCUAGUUUAGCAUGUGUGUAUGGGCUUUUUCUGUGUGCAAAUUGUGGUGCUAGUGCGUAUAUUGAAGUGAUGAACUUGUAAAGUGAUGAAA